UUACAGACCUUCUUGGGGCUUGCUAUGAUCAACAAGAUAGCAGUCUACUCGGCACGCCGCAUUGCACAGCGCGGUUGUUGACGGGUAUGUAAUCUCUUCGGGGCUUACACCUGGGACAAUUUUUGAUGGCCAACAGCCAAAAUCUUUUUCGUUGA
rnacentral:snRNA from 14 species